UGGGGAAUAUUGCGCAAUGGGCGAAAGCCUGACGCAGCGACGCCGCGUGGAGGAUGAAGGUCUUCGGAUUGUAAACUUCUGUUAAGUGGGAAAAAAGCCUUAUUCCUAAUACGAAUAAGGGAUGAUGGUACCGCUAGAGAAAGCACCGGCUAAUCUCGUGCCAGCAGCCGCGGUAAUACGAGAGGUGCGAGCGUUAUUCGGAAUUAUUGGGUGUAAAGGGCGCGUAGACGGCGCGUUAAGUUUACUGUUAAAUCCUUCGGCUCAACUGAAGAAAUGCAGUAAAUACUGGCGUGCUAGAGGAUGGAAGAGAGAAGUGGAAUUCUUGGAGUAGCGGUAAAAUGCGUAGAUCUCAAGAGGAACACCGAUGGCGAAGGCAGCUUCUUGGUCCAUUUCUGACGUUGAGGCGCGAAAGCGUGGGGAGCAAACAGG
rnacentral:rRNA from 1 species